rnacentral:rRNA from 1 species
UACGGAGGGGACUAGCGUUGUUCGGAAUUACUGGGCGUAAAGCGCACGUAGGCGGAUUUGUAAGUCAGGGGUGAAAUCCCGAGGCUCAACCUCGGAACUGCCUUUGAUACUGCAAAUCUCGAGUCCGGAAGAGGUGAGUGGAAUUCCUAGUGUAGAGGUGAAAUUCGUAGAUAUUAGGAAGAACACCAGUGGCGAAGGCGACUUACUGGACACAUAUUGACGCUGAGGUGCGAAAGCGUGGGGAGCAAACAGG